UGGUCCUAGCCUUGAAGUCAGUGCUUACUUAAUUUACACAUGCAAGUCUCCGCCCCCCUGUGAAAACGCCCUUUAAUCCCCUAUCGGGACGAGGAGCUGGUAUCAGGCUCAUUCAGCCCAAAACACCUAGCUUUGCCACACCCACAAGGGUAUCCAGCAGUGAUCAACAUUGAUAAUAAGCGCAAGCUUGAAUCAGUUAAAGUAAGAAGAGCCGGCAAAUCUGGUGCCAGCCGCCGCGGUUACACCACGUGACUCAAAUUGACCUCUGACGGCGUAAAGCGUGAUUAAAGCUAACCAAGACUAUAGUUGAACCGGAACUAGGCUGUGACAAGCUUGUUCUGCGGAAGCCCAAAAACGAAAGUUACUACAACUCAAACAACUUGAACUCACGACAGCUGGGGAACAAACUGGGAUUAGAUACCCCACUAUGCCUAGCCGUUGACCAUAACUUACACCCAAAUCGCCAGGGAAUUACGAGCGAAAGCUUAAAACCCAAAGGACUUGACGGUACCCCAUAUCCACCUAGAGGAGCCUGUCCUAUAAUCGAUAAUCCACGUUUAACCUCACCACUUUUAGCCUAUCAGUCUGUAUACCUCCGUCGUCAGCUUACCACGUGAGCGACCAUAGUGAGCUUAAUGUCCAUCCGUCAAAACGUCAGGUCAAGGUGCAGCUUACAAAGUGGGAAGAGAUGGGCUACAUUCUCUAAUCUAGAAAAUACGAAAGACUACUUAUGAAACCUGGUCGGAAGGCGGAUUUAGAAGUAAAAAGAGAUAAGAAAACUCUUUUUAACCCGGCACUGGGGUGUGUACACACCGCCCGUCACCCUCCUCAAAGCCGAUAGAGCAGUAUUUAACUCAUUUAAGCAAGAUAGAAGAGGCAAGUCGUAACAUGGUAAGCGCACCGGAAGGUGAGCUUGGAAA
rnacentral:ncRNA from 1 species